GCAGCGGUAGUUCAGUUGGUUAGAAUUAGUUUUUUCUUCUUGGGGCGCUUAGCUCAGUUGGCGCGGGUUCGAGCCCCGUCCGCUGCGCCA
rnacentral:tRNA from 1 species